UGACCACCAAUGAGGGUACUGGUAACCUGACUGUGGCAAAUGCAGUGGACGCCAUUUGACGAUGAGUGUUGCGGUGAGCUAGCUCAAUACUAAAACCCUGGUUCUCUCUGCUUCUUCUUCUUCUUCUUCUUCUUCCCCUUCUUCUUGUUCUAGGUCUAUCCUUUCCUUAGGAGAUGACUAAGCCGGAAGUUCUGGAGUCUUCCUUUUCGUUUCCUUACCGUUUAGUGGGUUCAUAGGCCCAUUACCAGUAUUGCCUUACAAAUGUGC
rnacentral:lncRNA from 1 species